UUAUUAUCACAAUGAAAACUUGCGGUGUGCUGUUGUGGGUUGCGACAACCGUGCUGAUCGUGGAUUACUGUUAUCAACAGAAAAUACCUGAAACAGAUCAGUUUGAAGGCCUGUUUAUUGCCUUGCAGUCAGUAUAGUGGUGCAAAUACAGCAAACAAGAAAGGGAAGAAGCAGAGCCACACUUUUGCCACUAGAGAUCCUGAUUUUGGUCCAAUCAUGUCAGCAACACUGCA